rnacentral:rRNA from 1 species
UACGUAGGUGGCAAGCGUUGUCCGGAUUUAUUGGGCGUAAAGAGAAUGUAGGCGGUUUAUUAAGUCUGAAGUGAAAGCCCUCGGCUCAACCGAGGAAGUGCUUCGGAAACUAGUAAACUUGAGUGCAGAAGAGGAAAGUGGAACUCCAUGUGUAGCGGUGGAAUGCGUAGAUAUAUGGAAGAACACCAGUGGCGAAGGCGGCUUUCUGGUCUGUAACUGACGCUGAGAUUCGAAAGCAUGGGUAGCAAAC